rnacentral:rRNA from 1 species
AACGAACGCUGGCGGCAGGCUUAACACAUGCAAGUCGAACGCCCCGCAAGGGGAGUGGCAGACGGGUGAGUAACGCGUGGGAAUCUACCCAGUUCUACGGAACAACAGAGGGAAACUUCUGCUAAUACCGUAUACGCCCUAAGGGGGAAAGAUUUAUCGGAAUUGGAUGAGCCCGCGUGAGAUUAGCUAGUUGGUGAGGUAAUGGCUCACCAAGGCGACGAUCUUUAGCUGGUCUGAGAGGAUGAUCAGCCACACUGGGACUGAGACACGGCCCAGAGUCCUACGGGAGGCAGCAGUGGGGAAUAUUGGACAAUGGGCGCAAGCCUGAUCCAGCCAUGCCGCGUGAGUGAUGAAGGCCUUAGGGUUGUAAAGCUCUUUCAGUAGGGAAGAUAAUGACGGUACCUACAGAAGAAGCCCCGGCUAACUUCGUGCCAGCCGCCGCGGUAAUAC